rnacentral:rRNA from 1 species
GGAAGGCAGCAGGCGCGCAAAUUACCCACUCCCGGCACGGGGAGGUAGUGACGAGAAAUAACGAUACGGGACUCAUCCGAGGCCUCGUAAUCGCAAUGAGUACACUGUAAACAGUUGUGCGAGUAUCAAUUGGAGGGCAAGUCUGGUGCCAGCAGCCGCGGUAAUUCCAGCUCCAAUAGCGUAUAUUAACGUUGUUGCGGUUAAAAAGCUCGUAGUCUGAAUUGUGUCCCGCGGCGCCGGUUCGCCGCCCGCCGGUGCAACUGGCGCGUCUGCGGGACGUCCUGUCGGACGGGCGGCCUCGGGCUCGCCUAGGUCUGGCGUUAGUAGUCGCUCGCUCCGCCAAGGGGCGACGGCGAAAGCGCACACGGCCUGGGCUUGCAGCCUGCGGCAGCUCGCUCAUCCCGGUCCGGUGCUCUUAAUCGAGUGUCGGGUCGGGCCGGCAACUUCACUUUGACCAAACGAGCGUGCUUCAAGCGGGCGCUGAUGCCCGUAUUUGUGUGCAUGGAAUGAUGGAAAAGGACCGCGGGCCAGUUUUGUUGGCUUCUUACGGCCCGCGGUAAUGAUCAACGGGUGCGGGAGGGGGCGUUCGUAUUGCGGCGUUAGAGGUGAAAUUCUUAGAUCGCCGCAAGACGACCCGAAGCGUAAGCGUUCGCCAAUUACGUAUCCGUCGAUCAAGAGCGAAAGUUAGAGGUUCGAAGGCGAUCAGAUACCGCCCUAGUUCUAACCAUAAACUAUGCCUGCCAGCUAUCCGGCGGAGUUCCUCCGAUGACCCGCCGGGCGGCUUCCCGGGAAACCAGAGCUUCUGGGUUCCGGGGGAAGUAUGGUUGCAAAGCUGAAACUUAAAGGAAUUGACGGAAGGGCACCACCAGGAGUGGAGCCUGCGGCUUAAUUUGACUCAACACGGGGAAACUCACCAGGCCCGGACACCAGAAGGAUUGACAGAUUGAUAGCUCUUUCUUGAUUCGGUGGGUGGGGGUGCAUGGCCGUUCUUAGUUGGUGGAUCGAUUUGUCUGGUUAAUUCCGAUAACGAACGAGACUCUGACCUGCUAACUAGACGCUGCCCGGUAU